CAGUAGUCAUAUGCUUGUCUCAAAGAUUAAGCCAUGCAUGUCUAAGCACAAACUUUUACACAGUGAAGCUGCGAAUGGCUCAUUAGGUCACCCAUGAUUUCUUAGAUCGUACAAUCCUACUUGGAUAACUGUGGUAAUUCUAGAGCUAAUACAUGCAAUUAAGCUCCGACCCCUCGUGGGGAAGAGCGCGUUUAUUAGAUCAAAACCAAUCGGGUCUUCGGGCUCGCACGUUUGGUGACUCUGGAUAACUUCGAGCUGAUCGCAUGGCCUCGCGCCGGCGACGUAUCUUUCAAGUGUGUGCCCUAUCAACUUUCGAUGGUACGUGAUAUGCCUACCAUGGUUGUAACGGGUAACGGGGAAUCAGGGUUCGAUUCCG
rnacentral:rRNA from 1 species